rnacentral:rRNA from 1 species
GACGAACGCUGGCGGCGUGCUUAACACAUGCAAGUCGAACGGAAAGGCCCUGCUUUUGUGGGGUGCUCGAGUGGCGAACGGGUGAGUAACACGUGAGUAACCUGCCCUUGACUUUGGGAUAACUUCAGGAAACUGGGGCUAAUACCAGAUAGGAGCUCCUGCUGCAUGGUGGGGGUUGGAAAGUUUCGGCGGUUGGGGAUGGACUCGCGGCUUAUCAGCUUGUUGGUGGGGUAGUGGCUUACCAAGGCUUUGACGGGUAGCCGGCCUGAGAGGGUGACCGGCCACAUUGGGACUGAGAUACGGCCCAGACUACUACGGGAGGCAGCAGUGGGGAAUAUUGCACAAUGGGCGGAAGCCUGAUGCAGCAACGCCGCGUGCGGGAUGACGGCCUUCGGGUUGUAAACCGCUUUCGCCUGUGACGAAGCGUGAGUGACGGUAAUGGGUAAAGAAGCACCGGCUAACUACGUG